UUUUGGAUUUUUCCAAAGGGGGCAAACCCGGCCGCCCCCUGCCGAAGGAAGAAGAAGGCCUUCGGAUUUUUAAUUACUUUUAGCGGGGAGGAAGGUGUUGUGCUAAUACCCCCCGCAUUGACGUUACCCACAGAAGAAGCCCUGUUUACUCCGUGCCAGCAGCCGCCGUUAUACGGAGGGUGCUAGCGUUAAUCCGAAUUACUGGGCGUAAAGCGCACGCUGGCGGUAUGUCAAGUUGGAAGUGAAAUCCCCGGGCUCAACCUGGGAAUUUCAUUUGAAACUGGCAGGCUAGAGUCUUGUAGAGGGGGGUAGAAUUCCAGGUGUAGCGGUGAAAUGCGUAGAGAUCUGGAGGAAUACCGGUGGCGAAGGCGGUCUCCUGGACAAAGACUGACGCUCAGGUGCGAAAGCGUGGGGAGCAAACAGGAUUAGAUACCCUGGUAGUCCACGCAGUAAACGAUGUUGAUUAGGAGGUUGUGCCCUUGAGGCGUGGCUUCUGGAGCUAACGCGUUAAAUCGUCCGCCUGGGGAGUACGGCCGCAAGGUUAAAACUCAAAUGAAUUGACGGGGGCCCGCACAAGCGGUGGAGCAUGUGGUUUAAUUCGAUGCAACGCGAAGAACCUUACCUGGUCUUGACAUCCACAGAACUUUCCAGAGAUGGAUUGGUGCCUUCGGGAACUGUGAGACAGGUGCUGCAUGGCUGUCGUCAGCUCGUGUUGUGAAAUGUUGGGUUAAGUCCCGCAACGAGCGCAACCCUUAUCCUUUGUUGCCAGCGGUUAGGCCGGGAACUCAAAGGAGACUGCCAGUGAUAAACUGGAGGAAGGUGGGGAUGACGUCAAGUCAUCAUGGCCCUUACGACCAGGGCUACACACGUGCUACAAUGGCGCAUACAAAGAGAAGCGACCUCGCGAGAGCAAGCGGACUUCAUAAAGUGCGUCGUAGUCCGGAUUGGAGUCUGCAACUCGACUCCAUGAAGUCGGAAUCGCUAGUAAUCGUAGAUCAGAAUGCUACGGUGAAUACGUUCCCGGGCCUUGUACACACCGCCCGUCACACCAUGGGAGUGGGUUGCAAAAGAAGUAGGUAGCUUAACCUUCGGGAGCGCACGCCUACCACUUUGUGAUUACAUGACUGGGGUGAAGUCGUAACAAGUAAG
rnacentral:rRNA from 1 species